UUUUGACAUUUUCAUAAGAAUUAGGGAGGAGGAAGAGAAAGACAGUUACGAGAUUAUUUCCAGGCCUUGAUCUGACGUGCACACAUGUAUAUAUAUUCAUGUGUAGUAAGGAGGAGAUA
rnacentral:ribozyme from 1 species